GAUGAACGCUGGCGGCGUGCUUAACACAUGCAAGUCGAACGGAAAGGCUCCUGCUUGCAGGGGUACUCGAGUGGCGAACGGGUGAGUAACACGUGGGUGAUCUGCCCUGCACUUCGGGAUAAGCCUGGGAAACUGGGUCUAAUACCGGAUAGGACGAUGGUUUGGAUGCCAUUGUGGAAAGUUUUUUCGGUGUGGGAUGAGCUCGCGGCCUAUCAGCUUGUUGGUGGGGUAAUGGCCUACCAAGGCGUCGACGGGUAGCCGGCCUGAGAGGGUGUACGGCCACAUUGGGACUGAGAUACGGCCCAGACUCCUACGGGAGGCAGCAGUGGGGAAUAUUGCACAAUGGGCGCAAGCCUGAUGCAGCGACGCCGCGUGGGGGAUGACGGCCUUCGGGUUGUAAACUUCUUUCGCUAGGGACGAAGCGCAAGUGACGGUACCUGGAGAAGAAGCACCGGCUAACUACGUG
rnacentral:rRNA from 1 species